rnacentral:rRNA from 1 species
GGUUGAUCAUGGCUCAGAUUGAACGCUGGCAGGAUGCUUUACACCACAAGUCGAACGGCAGCACGGACUUCGGUCUGGUGGCAGUGGCGAACGGGUGAGUAAUGUAUCGGAACGUGCCUAGUAGCGGCGGGGGGAUAACUACGCGAAAGCGUAGCUAAUACCGCAUACGCCCUUCGAAGGGGAAAGCGGGGACCUUCAGGCCUCGCACUAUUAGAGCGGCCGAUAUCGGAUUAGCUAGUUGGUGGUAACGGCUCACCAAGGCGACGAUCCGUAGCUGGUUUGAGAGACGACCAGCCACACUGGGACUGAGACACGGCCCAGACUCCUACAGGGAGGCAGCAGUGGGGAAUUUUGGACAAUGGGAAACCUGAUCCAGCGGCGCAUCGCGUGCGAUGAAGGCCUUCGGGUUGUAAAGCACUUUUUGGCAGGAAAGAAACGGCACCUUAAUGCCCGUGCAACUGACAAUGCCUGCAGAAUAUUAAGCACCGGCUAACUACGUGCCAGCAACCGCGGUAAUACCGUAGGGUGCAAGCGUUAAUCGGAAUUACUGGGUAAAGCGUGCGCAGGCGGUUCGGAGGAAGAAAGAUGCUUGAAAUCCCAGAGCUUAACUUUGGAACUGCAUUUUUAACUACCGAGCUAGAGUGUGUCAGAGGGAGGAGGUGGAAUUCCGCGUGCUGGCAGUGAAAUGCGUGAUAUGCGGAGGAACACACACACACCGAUAGCGAAAACUCCUGGGAUAACACUGACGCUCAUGCACGAAAGCGUGGGAGCAAACAGGAUUAGAUACCCUGGUAGUCCACGCCUAAACGAUAGUCAACUAGCUGUUGAAGGCCUUCGGGCCUUGGUAGCGCAGCUAACGCGUGAGGACCGCCUGGGGAGUACGUUCGCAAGAUUAAAACUCAAAGGAAUUGACGGGGAUUCAAGCGGUGGAUGAUGUGGAUUAAUUCGAUGCAACGUAAAACCUUACCUACCCUUGACAUGUCUGGAAUCCCGAAAGGGAGAUUUGGGAGUGCUCGCAAGAGAACCGGAACACAGGUGCUGCAUGCUGUCGUCAGCUCAUUGUCGUGAGAUGUUGGGUUAAGUCCGCAACGAGCGCAACCCUUGUCAUUAGUUGCUACGAAAGGGCACUCCUAAUGAGACUGCCGGUGACAAACCGGAGGAAGGUGGGGAUGACGUCAGGGUCCUCGGCCCUUAUGGGUAGGGCUUCACACGUCAUACAAUGGUCGGGACAGAGGGUCGCCAGCCCGAGGGGGAGCCAAUCCCAGAAACCCGAUCGUAGUCAGGUCUCUGCAGUCUGCAACUCGACUGCGUGAAGUCCGGAAUCGCCUUCUAAUAUUGCGGAUCAGCAUGUCACGGUGAAUACGUUCCCGGGUCUUGUACACCGCCCCGUCACACCAUAGUGGGUUUUACCAAGUAGCCUAACCGUAAGGAGGGCGAUUACCGGUAGGAUUCAUGACUGGGGUGAAGUCGUAACAAGGAAGUAG